rnacentral:rRNA from 1 species
AACGUAGGUGGCGAGCGUUAUCCGGAUUUACUGGGCGUAAAGCAUGUGCAGACGGAUUGGUAAGUGGUGUAUGAAAGCGUCCGGCUUAACCGGGCAAGGGUAUGCCAGACUGCCAGUCUUGAGAGUGGGAGAGGGAUGUGGAAUUCCGGGUGUAGUGGUGAAAUGCGUAGAGAUCCGGAGGAACCCCAGAGGCGAAGGCGGCGUCCUGGCCCAUUUCUGACGUUCAGACAUGACAGCAUGGGGAGCGAACGGG